rnacentral:rRNA from 1 species
UAGAGUUUGAUUCUGGCUCAGGAUGAACGCUAGCCACAGGCUUAACACAUGCAAGUCGCGGGGCAGCAUGUUACUGGCUUGCCUGUAAUGAUGGCGACCGGCGCACGGGUGAGUAUCGCGUAUCCAACCUUCCCAUAUCCACGGGAUAGCCUGCCGAAAGGCAGAUUAAUACCGUAUGUUGUCGCACGCUGGCAUCAAAAUGCGACGAAAGGCUUAGCGGAUAUGGAUGGGGAUGCGUCCGAUUAGCUUGACGGCGGGGUAACGGCCCACCGUGGCGACGAUCGGUAGGGGUUCUGAGAGGAAGGUCCCCCACAUUGGAACUGAGACACGGUCCAAACUCCUACGGGAGGCAGCAGUGAGGAAUAUUGGUCAAUGGGCGUAAGCCUGAACCAGCCAAGUAGCGUGCAGGACGACGGCCCUAUGGGUUGUAAACUGCUUUUAUGCGGGGAUAAAGUAUGGGACGUGUCCCAUUUUGCAGGUACCGCAUGAAUAAGGACCGGCUAAUUCCGUGCCAGCAGCCGCGGUAAUACGGAAGGUCCGGGCGUUAUCCGGAUUCAUUGGGUUUAAAGGGAGCGUAGGCCGCCCCUUAAGCGUGUUGUGAAAUGCCGCGGCUCAACCGUGGCACUGCAGCGCGAACUGGGGGGCUUGAGUGUGCGCGACGCAGGCGGAAUUCGUGGUGUAGCGGUGAAAUGCUUAGAUAUCACGAGGAACCCCGAUUGCGAAGGCAGCUUGCGGGAGCACUACUGACGCUGAAGCUCGAAGGCGCGGGUAUCGAACAGGAUUAGAUACCCUGGUAGUCCGCGCG